rnacentral:hammerhead_ribozyme from 1 species
AUCCAGCUGAUGAAUCCCAAGUAGGACGAAAUGCGUGUCCUGGAU